UACGGAGGGGCUAGCGUUGUUCGGAAUUACUGGGCGUAAAGCGCACGUAGGCGGCUUUGCAAGUCAGAGGUGAAAGCCCGGGGCUCAACCCCGGAAUUGCCUUUGAGACUGCAUCGCUAGAAUUGUGGAGAGGUAAGUGGAAUUCCGAGUGUAGAGGUGAAAUUCGUAGAUAUUCGGAAGAACACCAGUGGCGAAGGCGACUUACUGGACACAUAUUGACGCUGAGGUGCGAAAGCGUGGGAGCAAACAGG
rnacentral:rRNA from 1 species